rnacentral:rRNA from 1 species
CGCAUCUGUGCAUGCAGCAUAUCAAUAAGCGGAGGAAAAGAAACUAACAAGGAUUCCCUUAGUAACGGCGAGUGAAGCGGGAAGAGCUCAAAUUUGAAAUCUUCAAGGUUUUACCUUGACGAAUUGUAGCUUAAAGAAGUGUUUUCUGUUGAAGUUUUGGUAAAAGUUCUUUGGAAUAGGACAUCAUAGAGGGUGAGAAUCCCGUAUUUGACCAUUAUUUUCAGCUGUGUGAUACACUUUCGAAGAGUCGGAUUGUUUGGGAAUGCAGUCCAAAAUGGGUGGUAAAUUUCAUCUAAAGCUAAAUAUUGGCGAGAGACCGAUAGCGAACAAGUACCGUGAGGGAAAGAUGAAAAGAACUUUGAAAAGAGAGUUAAACAGGUACGUGAAAUUGUCAAAAGGGAAGCGUUUGACACCAGUGUUGUUUUCUCGAAAAUCAAUUAAAAAGAGUUUAGAUUUUGUUGUGUAUUGACCUUAACAGCUUGCAUUUCAAUUUUCUUGCUUUUUUUAAUGCACUUUUCGUUUAACAAGUCAACAUCAGUUUCUUUUGUUGUAAAAAGGUCAUUGGAAGGUGGCUUUCUUUUCGGAGAAAGUGUUUAUAGCCUUUGACUCCUGCAAUCGGAGAGACUGAGGUCUGCAGCGUAGAUCCUUCGGGGUUAGAUACAUUUGUGCUAAGCUACUAGCUUUUCAUAGACAACUUGUUGACUAUGAUUAGUCUUGUAGCUUACCUCGCUUAUGCUAUUUUACCUACGCUUAGGAUGUUGACGCGCGUGUGUGCGUG